rnacentral:rRNA from 1 species
GGGGUGUAACUUUAGUGGCGGACGGGUGAGUACACGUGAGAAUUUACCUUUAGGUGGGGAAUAACAGUUGGAAACGACUGCUAAUGCCGCAUAUCAUAGAAAUAUGAAAGAAGAAAUUCGCCUAAAGAAAAGCUUGCGUCUGAUUAGCUAGUUGGUGAGGGUAAGGGCCUACCAAGGCGACGAUCAGUAGCUGGUUUGAGAGGAUGAUCAGUCACACUGGAACUGAGACACGGUCCAGACUCCUACGGGAGGCAGCAGUGGGGAAUUUUCUGCAAUGGGCGAAAGCCUGACAGAGCAAUACCGCGUGAGGGAAGAAAGCCCACAGGGUUGUAAACCUCUUUUGUCAAGGAAGAAGUUCUGACGUUACUUGACGAAUAAGCAUCGGCUAACUCCGUGCCAGCAGCCGCGGUAAGACGGAGGAUGCAAGUGUUAUCCGGAAUCACUGGGCGUAAAGCGUUUGUAGGUGGUUUAGUAAGUCUAUUAUUAAAUCUUGAAGCUUAACUUCAAAACUGUAAUGGAAACUACUAAACUUGAGGAUAGUAGGGGUGAAGGGAAUUUCCAGUGGAGCGGUGAAAUGCGUAGAGAUUGAAAGAACACCAAAAGCGAAGGCAACUUACUGGGUCACUACUGACACUGAGGAGCGAAAGCAU